CGCAGUAAUUUGACUGUGCGAAGGUAGCAUAAUCAUUAGUCUCUUAAUUGGAGGCUCGUAUGAAUGGUCGGAUGAGGGAUGAACUGUCUUGAAUAUGUUAUUUGAAUUUAACCUCUAAGUGAAAAGGCUUAGAUUAUUUAGGGGGACGAUAAGACCCUAUAAAACUUAAUAUUAAUUUGUAUAAAUUGUAGAUAAAGUUUAAAACGAUUUUUAGAUUUUAAUAUUUCAUUGGGGCGAUGAGGAUAUAAGUCUAACUGUCUUAAAAAUUUAAUAGUUAUUAUUAGUUAGUGAUCCUUUAUUAAGGAUUUAAAGAUUAAGUUACUUUAGGGAUAACAGCGUGAUUUUCUUUGAGAGUUCUUAUCGACAAGAGUAGUUGCGACCUCGAUGUUGAAUUAA
rnacentral:rRNA from 1 species